CAGUUCAAAGAAAUAAAGGACCAGUCCAAAGAGGAAACCAUCUCCAAUUCUUGCAGUUGCUGGGAAUAAAGCAAUGGUCACAGAAGAGAAGAAUGCGUACUAUCAUGUUCUGGAGUCUGGAAGCCACAGAUCAGAGUGUCUGCGUGAUCAGCUUCAGGUGUACCGAGGGCUGCCUUCUUUGUCCUCACGUUGUUGUAAGGAGAUCUCCUCCUAUAACAGCACUGAUAUCAUUCAUGGGGAAAUCUACCCUUAUGCCUUAUUUACCUCCCAAAGACCUCAUCUUCAAAUACCAUCUUGUUGGGAAUUACAGCUACAGCAUGUGGAUUUUGGAGUGGGGGUUUCAGGGGAACAAAAACAUUCAAU